AAGUGGUCAACAUAUCAGGCAUAGAAACUAUCUGUGAAGAUUCGUUUAUAUUUCCGGAAUUAGUUUCCAAUGUCAGUUUGUUACUAGUGUCACUGUGUACGAUCUGCUUAAUCUUGCAUAUUAUUGGCGAACGCAAACGAUAUGACUAUCACGGAAGCCACCGACUUGGACAUCCCACAACUCCAUGUUUUAAUAGAAACAUGCUACAGGGGCGAAUCGUCAAAACAAGGAUGGACGUCAGAAGUUGAUAUUGUCGGUGGUAUUAGAACAAAUGAGGAGCUUUUAAAAGCUGAUAUAACUGCAUCUGGCGCCAGAUUCCUUAAAUAUACAGAUGAAGAAGGUUGCAUUAGCGGUUGCGUUUAUACGCGAUUGAUUCCAGAAGAAAAAAAAGUGUACAUAGCGAUGCUGUGCGUGAAUCCUCAAAUACAAGCCAAAGGGCUCGGAAAACAAUUAAUGGCAGCUGCUGAAAACAUUGGUCUUGAAAAUGGAUGUACAACCGCAACUAUAGUGGUCAUUUCCAGGCGAACGGAGCUUGUGGCAUGGUAUGAAAGGCGCGGAUAUGCACCGACUGGAGAAAUAAAACCAUUUGAAACUGCUGGAGUUGCCGGAGACGCAAAAGUCGAAAACUUACAGUUGAAAAGUAUGUCAAAAUUACUGCAGUGAUGGUGUUUUACUUAUGGUAUCUGCACCCGCAUACAACCAGACAGACACAGUGUACUUUAUAUAUCUCAAAAUUUUUGAACAACUGAAUGCCUAUCUCAAAUGCCACAGUUGAAUUGAUGAGUGUUGGGAGCAAGGCAUUCGUUUCGUUCGUUCGCUUUUUUUGUUGUUGUUGUUUAUUAUUGGGAUAUAGAUGAGAAGGAGGAUUUGUGUCAGAUUGAACAGAAAAUGGAACAAUAAUGGUUAAACAGCACUAUUAAAAUGCUAUACGACUGUGA